rnacentral:ncRNA from 3 species
GAUCCUUCGAUGUCGGCU